GACGAACGCUGGCGGCGUGCUUAACACAUGCAAGUCGAACGGAAAGGCCCUGCUUUUGUGGGGUGCUCGAGUGGCGAACGGGUGAGUAACACGUGAGUAACCUGCCCUUGACUUUGGGAUAACUUCGGGAAACUGGGGCUAAUACCGGAUAGGUGCUCCUGCUGCAUGGUGGGGGUUGGAAAGUUUCGGCGGUUGGGGAUGGACUCGCGGCUUAUCAGCUUGUUGGUGGGGUAGUGGCUUACCAAGGCUUUGACGGGUAGCCGGCCUGAGAGGGUGACCGGCCACAUUGGGACUGAGAUACGGCCCAGACUCCUACGGGAGGCAGCAGUGGGGAAUAUUGCACAAUGGGCGGAAGCCUGAUGCAGCAACGCCGCGUGCGGGAUGACGGCCUUCGGGUUGUAAACCGCUUUCGCCUGUGACGAAGCGUGAGUGACGGUAAUGGGUAAAGAAGCACCGGCUAACUACGUGCCAGCAGCCGCGGUGAUACGUAGGGUGCGAGCGUUGUCCGGAUUUAUUGGGCGUAAAGGGCUCGUAGGUGGUUGAUCGCGUCGGAAGUGUAAUCUUGGGGCUUAACCCUGAGCGUGCUUUCGAUACGGGUUGACUUGAGGAAGGUAGGGGAGAAUGGAAUUCCUGGUGGAGCGGUGGAAUGCGCAGAUAUCAGGAGGAACACCAGUGGCGAAGGCGGUUCUCUGGGCCUUUCCUGACGCUGAGGAGCGAAAGCGUGGGGAGCGAACAGGCUUAGAUACCCUGGUAGUCCACGCUGUAAACGGUGGGUACUAGGUGUGGGGUCCAUUCCACGGGUUCCGUGCCGUAGCUAACGCUUUAAGUACCCCGCCUGGGGAGUACGGCCGCAAGGCUAAAGCUCAAAGGAAUUGACGGGGCCCCGCACAAGCGGCGGAGCAUGCGGAUUAAUUCGAUGCAACGCGUAGAACCUUACCUGGGUUUGACAUGGAUCGGGAGUGCUCAGAGAUGGGUGUGCCUCUUUUGGGGUCGGUUCACAGGUGGUGCAUGGCUGUCGUCAGCUCGUGUCGUGAGAUGUUGGGUCAAGUCCCGCAACGAGCGCAACCCUUGUUCACUGUUGCCAGCACGUUAUGGUGGGGACUCAGUGGAGACCGCCGGGGUCAACUCGGAGGAAGGUGGGGAUGACGUCAAGUCAUCAUGCCCCUUAUGUCCAGGGCUUCACGCAUGCUACAAUGGCUGGUACAGAGAGUGGCGAGCCUGUGAGGGUGAGCGAAUCUCGGAAAGCCGGUCUCAGUUCGGAUUGGGGUCUGCGACUCGACCUCAUGAAGUCGGAGUCGCUAGUAAUCGCAGAUCAGCAACGCUGCGGUGAAUACGUUCCCGGG
rnacentral:rRNA from 1 species